rnacentral:rRNA from 1 species
GAUGAACGCUAGCUACAGGCUUAACACAUGCAAGUCGAGGGGCAUCAGGAAGAAAGCUUGCUUUCUUUGCUGGCGACCGGCGCACGGGUGAGUAACACGUAUCCAACCUGCCCUUUACUCGGGGAUAGCCUUUCGAAAGAAAGAUUAAUACCCGAUAGCAUAAUGAUUCCGCAUGGUUUCAUUAUUAAAGGAUUCCGGUAAAGGAUGGGGAUGCGUUCCAUUAGGUUGUUGGUGAGGUAACGGCCCACCAAGCCUUCGAUGGAUAGGGGGACUGAGAGGUUAACCCCCCACAUUGGUACUGAGACACGGACCAA